rnacentral:rRNA from 1 species
UACGGAGGAUGCGAGCGUUAUCCGGGUUUAUUGGGUUUAAAGGGUGCGUAGGCGGUCCGUUAAGUCAGCGGUAAAAUUGCGGGGCCCAACCCCGUCGAGCCGUUGAAACUGGCAGACUUGAGUUGGCGAGAAGUACGCGGAAUGCGCGGUGUAGCGGUGAAAUGCAUAGAUAUCGCGCAGAACUCCGAUUGCGAAGGCAGCGUACCGGCGCCACACUGACGCUGAGGCACGAAAGCGUGGGGAUCGAACAGG